rnacentral:rRNA from 1 species
UACAGAGGGUGCAAGCGUUAAUCGGAAUUACUGGGCGUAAAGCGUGCGUAGACGGUUAUGUAAGUCGGGUGUGAAAGCCCCGGGCUCAACCUGGGAAUUGCAUUCGAGACUGUGUAGCUAGGGUACGGAAGAGGGAAGCGGAAUUUCAGGUGUAGCGGUGAAAUGCGUAGAUAUCUGAAGGAACACCAGUGGCGAAGGCGACUACCUGGCCUGUUCUUGACGCUGAGGCGCGAAAGCUAGGGGAGCAAACGGG